rnacentral:rRNA from 1 species
UACGAAGGGGGCUAGCGUUGUUCGGAUUUACUGGGCGUAAAGCUCACGUAGGCGGAUCUUUAAGUCAGAGGUGAAAUCCCAAGGCUCAACCUUGGAACUGCCUUUGAUACUGGGGAUCUUGAGUCCGGGAGAGGUGAGUGGAACUGCGAGUGUAGAGGUGAAAUUCGUAGAUAUUCGCAAGAACACCAGUGGCGAAGGCGGCUCACUGGCCCGGUACUGACGCUGAGGUGCGAAAGCGUGGGGAGCAAACAGG